rnacentral:rRNA from 1 species
CCUACGGGUGGCAGCAGUAGGGAAUAUUGCACAAUGGAGGAAACUCUGAUGCAGCGACGCCGCGUGAGUGAAGAAGGAUUUCGGUACGUAAAGCUCUAUCAGCAGGGAAGAACAUGACGGUAACUGACUGAGUGGCCCCGGCUAACUUCGUGCCAGCAGCCGCGGUAAUACGUCGGGGGCACACGUUCGCCGGAUUUACUGGGUGUAAAGGGAGCGUAGACGGCUGCACAAGUCUGGAGUGAACGCCCGGGGCUCAACCCCGGGAGUGCAUUGGAAACUGGUCGGCUUGAGUGCAGGAGGGGUGAGCGGAAUGCCGAGUGUAGCGGUGAAAUGCGUAGAUAUUAGGAGGAACACCAGUGGCGAAGGCGGCUCACUGGACUGUAACUGACGUUGAGGCUCGAAAGCGUGGGGAGCAAACAGGAUUAGAUACCCGUGUAGUG